UACGGAGGGUGCGAGCGUUGUCCGGAAUCACUGGGCGUAAAGGGCGCGUAGGUGGCGCGGGAAGUCAACGGUGAAAGUUCAGGGCUCAACCCUGAAUCGGCCGUCGAUACUCCCGGGCUUGAGCACUGUAGAGGCAGAUGGAAUUCCGGGUGUAGCGGUGGAAUGCGUAGAUAUCGGGAGGAACACCAGUGGCGAAGGCGACUUUCUGGCUGUUCUUGACGCUGAGGCGCGAAAGCUAGGGGAGCGAACAGG
rnacentral:rRNA from 1 species